UUGCUUUGGCUGCACAUACACUAAAAAUUAGAACGAUAGAGAAGAUUAGCAUGGCCCUUGUGCAAGUAUGAUGUGUGAUGUCUGGAUAAGGUCCUAAUAAAA
ensembl:snRNA U6 U6 spliceosomal RNA